ACUAUUUUGGCAGAUUAGUGCUUUAAAUUUAGAAUUUAAAAAUGUAAUUUUUUAUUACAAAUAGUA
rnacentral:tRNA from 1 species